GAUGAACGCUGGCGGCGUGCCUAAUACAUGCAAGUCGAGCGAACAGACGAGGAGCUUGCUCCUUUGACGUUAGCGGCGGACGGGUGAGUAACACGUGGAUAACCUACCUAUAAGACUGGGAUAACUUCGGGAAACCGGAGCUAAUACCGGAUAACAUGUUGAACCGCAUGGUUCAACAGUGAAAGACGGUCUUGCUGUCACUUAUAGAUGGAUCCGCGCCGCAUUAGCUAGUUGGUAAGGUAACGGCUUACCAAGGCAAUGAUGCGUAGCCGACCUGAGAGGGUGAUCGGCCACACUGGAACUGAGACACGGUCCAGACUCCUACGGGAGGCAGCAGUAGGGAAUCUUCCGCAAUGGGCGAAAGCCUGACGGAGCAACGCCGCGUGAGUGAAGAAGGUCUUCGGAUCGUAAAACUCUGUUAUUAGGGAAGAACAAAUGUGUAAGUAACUAUGCACGUCUUGACGGUACCUAAUCAGAAAGCCACGGCUAACUACGUGCCAGCAGCCGCGGUAAUACGUAGGUGGCAAGCGUUAUCCGGAAUUAUUGGGCGUAAAGCGCGCGUAGGCGGUUUUUUAAGUCUGAUGUGAAAGCCCACGGCUCAACCGUGGAGGGUCAUUGGAAACUGGAAAACUUGAGUGCAGAAGAGGAAAGUGGAAUUCCAUGUGUAGCGGUGAAAUGCGCAGAGAUAUGGAGGAACACCAGUGGCGAAGGCGACUUUCUGGUCUGUAACUGACGCUGAUGUGCGAAAGCGUGGGGAUCAAACAGGAUUAGAUACCCUGGUAGUCCACGCCGUAAACGAUGAGUGCUAAGUGUUAGGGGGUUUCCGCCCCUUAGUGCUGCAGCUAACGCAUUAAGCACUCCGCCUGGGGAGUACGACCGCAAGGUUGAAACUCAAAGGAAUUGACGGGGACCCGCACAAGCGGUGGAGCAUGUGGUUUAAUUCGAAGCAACGCGAAGAACCUUACCAAAUCUUGACAUCCUCUGACCCCUCUAGAGAUAGAGUUUUCCCCUUCGGGGGACAGAGUGACAGGUGGUGCAUGGUUGUCGUCAGCUCGUGUCGUGAGAUGUUGGGUUAAGUCCCGCAACGAGCGCAACCCUUAAGCUUAGUUGCCAUCAUUAAGUUGGGCACUCUAAGUUGACUGCCGGUGACAAACCGGAGGAAGGUGGGGAUGACGUCAAAUCAUCAUGCCCCUUAUGAUUUGGGCUACACACGUGCUACAAUGGACAAUACAAAGGGUAGCGAAACCGCGAGGUCAAGCAAAUCCCAUAAAGUCGUUCUCAGUUCGGAUUGUAGUCUGCAACUCGACUACAUGAAGCUGGAAUCGCUAGUAAUCGUAGAUCAGCAUGUUACGGUGAAUACGUUCCCGGGUCUUGUACACACCGCCCGUCACACCACGAGAGUUUGUAACACCCGAAGCCGGUGGAGUAACCUUUUGGAGCUAGCCGUCGAAGGUGGGACAAAUGAUUGGGGUGAAGUCGUAACAAGGUAGCCGUAUCGGAAGG
rnacentral:rRNA from 1 species